GGCAUAACAGUUGCCGAUGAAGAGGUCUCGUCGGGUCUGGGACUCCGCCCGACACCAGGACCGGCAGACGAGAGAGGCGGAGUUCCGGUCCCGACGCUCCGUCAGAAACUGGAGAACGUUCUCGAUGACGUUCUCCAGUACCUGGCCGGAGAAAAGCGGUGGGCUCGAGUGAUCGAGCCCGGAUCCGCAGCCUCGGGUCUUGGCGGAGCUCUCGCCGCCGCCGAGAUCCGAG
rnacentral:misc_RNA from 1 species